rnacentral:lncRNA from 1 species
CCUAUUCAAGAGGGUGCUCAAACUAAGACAGAGCACUCUUGGCUGUGUGAAGAAGAAGGCUACUCUAUGAAGGCGGCUUCUAUUGUGAGGUGAUUGAAGAAGUAGCUGAAGCAUCCACAAGCAUUCCAUCAUGGUGGCAAAUUCAGAAGGGUGAUUGCAAUAAGAGAAGAAGAAGAAGUGAGGAUUCAAGUGGCAACGACCACUCCUCAUCACCUUAAACAAGGGAGUAAACCUAGUCUCAUCUAUCUU